rnacentral:rRNA from 1 species
GACGAACGCUGGCGGCGUGCCUAAUACAUGCAAGUAGAACGCUGAAGGAGGAGCUUGCUUCUCUGGAUGAGUUGCGAACGGGUGAGUAACGCGUAGGUAACCUGCCUGGUAGCGGGGGAUAACUAUUGGAAACGAUAGCUAAUACCGCAUAAUAGCAGUUAUUGCAUGAUAACUGUUUGAAAGGUGCAAUUGCACCACUACCAGAUGGACCUGCGUUGUAUUAGCUAGUUGGUGGGGUAACGGCUCACCAAGGCGACGAUACAUAGCCGACCUGAGAGGGUGAUCGGCCACACUGGGACUGAGACACGGCACAGACUCCUACGGGAGGCAGCAGUAGGGAAACUUCAGCAAUGGACGGAAGUCUGACCGAGCAACGCCGCGGGAGUGAAGAAGGUUUUCGGAUCGUAAAGCUCUGUUGUAAGAGAAGAACGAGUGUGAGAGUGGAAAGUUCACACUGUGACGGUAUCUGACCAGAAAGGGACGGCUAACUACGUG